rnacentral:rRNA from 1 species
UUUUUACAAUGAAGAGUUUGAUCCUGGCUCAGGAUGAACGCUAGCGGCAGGCUUAACACAUGCAAGUCGAGGGGCAGCACGGGUAGCAAUACUUGGUGGCGACCGGCGCAAGGGUGCGUAACGCGUGAGCAACAUGCCCGUAUCAGGGGGAUAAUCCAGGGAAACUUGGUCUAAUACCCCAUAGUAAUCUUUUAAGGCAUCUUUUAAGAUUUAAAGCUUUGGUGGAUACGGAUUGGCUCGCGUGACAUUAGUUAGAUGGUAAGGUAACGGCUUACCAUGACUAUGAUGUCUAGGGGUUCUGAGAGGAAGGUCCCCCACACUGGAACUGAGACACGGUCCAGACUCCUACGGGAGGCAGCA